rnacentral:rRNA from 1 species
GACGUAGGAGGCGAGCGUUGUCCGGAUUCAUUGGGCGUAAAGAGCGCGCAGGCGGCUUGGUAAGUCGGAUGUGAAAUCCCGAGGCUCAACCUCGGGUCUGCAUCCGAUACUGCCCGGCUAGAGGUAGGUAGGGGAGAUCGGAAUUCCUGGUGUAGCGGUGGAAAUGACGCAGAUAUCAGGAGGAACACCGGUGGCGAAGGCGGAUCUCUGGGCCUUACCUGACGCUCAGGCGCGAAAGCUAGGGGAGCGAACUGG